CGCUCCGGGACCCGCUGCUCCGCGGCCGCUCCGCACCCAGGCCGCGCCGCCGCCCGGCCCCGCCGCUCCGGCCCCGCCGAGCGCCCGCAACAAGUUUCUUUAAGCGGCGGCCCCCGGGCUCCGCCCCCGCGCGGCUCCCUAUUGGCCCGCGCGCGCCCCGCAGCCCCCGGGGGUGGAGCCCGGCCGCGCGCCCCGCCCCGCGCCGCCCCACGCGGGGCCGCCGCUCGCCCAGGGCCGGGACGGGGGUCGCGGCGCUCGGCCCGGUGGCCCGGCCCCACCGGCCCCACCGGCCCCACCGGCCCGCGCCGCGCACAGCCGCGUCCCCCGGAGCCGCCCCGCCGCGCGCCCCCAGCCCGCCUGCCGCCGCGGGACCCUCCGGGGCGCCCCGAGCCCGCGCGCCGCGCUCGUCCAGGUGACUCCGAGGCCCUGCCCCACAUCACAGAACCUGAUAUUCUGCUUAUGGGAAAGUGGCAUUGGGGGUGUCAUUGUCUAAGGUAAACAGCCCAGGGUUGGUGGGGGGGUGUGCACCUGAUGGCAGAGGUGCGUCCUCCGGGAGUGGCCUCUGUUCUGGCGUCCUGUCCUGUGGUUGGCUUCCCUUUGCUCUGUCGCCUGCCAGGGAACGCCCUCAGCUGCUGGUCUGUGGUGGCCGCCCCUCGGAGGUCCUGCCCUCCACUGGGGGUCCCCGCUGUGCAGUUGGGGACUCCGAGGGAGGGCCCAAGUGGGGGUUGCCUGAGGGCCCCCAUCGAUCUUACUGGCCCAUGGGGACCUGUGCAAGUGCAAGCAGGGGGAGGGUUGAGGUUGGCAGACCUGGCCCAAACUGUCCUCCCCCACCCACCAGAAAACAGGUCCCACCCCUCCCUGCACCCAGCAGGCCGUCGUGCGCCAGGUCUGGGUUUUCACGAGGAGCUCUGCUUUGCGAAGCUGCACUGGGACGUCAGAGGUGAGCACCAGGUGCCAGCAGCAUCAUCCACGGGGGAAACCGAGUCUGCCGAGGUGUUAGAGACGUGCCAUCUGCCCGUGCCUUCCUCUGGACGCUUGCACCCCCUAAGCCUUCCGGCCCCCAGCGGCUCCAGCACAUUCCAUUCCUUGCCCACGCAGACGGGCAUUCUGUGGUACCAGGCCCCUGGGUCCCCGGGCCCCAGACCCCACCCUCAUUCUGCACUCUGGGCUCCUGCCCCCUGGCCCCCAGUCCCCAGGGCCCCUGCCCUUCACUGUCACCUCGGUCCCCCCCCACCCCCCCACCCCCCCCCCCCCCCCCCCCCCACCCCCCCCCCCGUGCACAGGCCCCGUGCAGAAGGGGAGCCAGGACUCUGGAGGAUGACUGUCACUCCAGAAAACCAGCCUUCGAGCCCAAGUAGGCUGUGCUUGUCCUUCCAAACUUAA
rnacentral:lncRNA from 1 species